rnacentral:lncRNA from 1 species
GAGGAAGCAUUAGGAAAAUUAAGGGAUUCAAAUGUGGAUUUUCUCAAAAGUUGCAGAUUAUUUUCAGAGGUCGGUAACUUUUCUUCUGAGGAGGUAUAGUUUUUCAGCAAGUGUCUUCAGAAAGAAAGUAAAGAAAUUGACUCCUUUGAAAGUUCAAUCAAAACAGAUGUGGAGCAAAUAAAAUCGAGCUGCUUGGAGCAGGUAUGCAGAAUUACAUUAUUUCAAAUUAUGUUUUCUGUUGACAUAUUUGAUGGGAUUUGCAGUCAGCCUGCUUUCAGAUUAGAACUGUAAAUCUGUUCUGUUUGGCAAUUACAUGAUGGAAAAAAUUAGUAAAAAUGGCAAGGUCUAUCACUUCAGUUUUAAAAAGUGAAAAAUUAUCUUGUUCUGUCUUUUGUUUCUGACACUCUUAAAGGCUACAGAACUGUUCAAGCAGUCUCAAAAAAGGUUUGCUUCUCUCUCUCUGAGUCGAGCCUUUAUGAGGAAGGUCCCUCAAUCUUUGAGGAGGUUACGACAGCAAAUCAAAUCAGAGGUACAAACAGAAACAUCAGAACUUUGCUUAAAUUCGUUAUAAUAAUUUUCUUUUUUAUACCUUUGAGGAGAUUUUGGCUGAAUUCAUAGUGGACAAAUAUUACAUUAUUUUUAUGUUGAUUUCAAACCUGUUUUCUAUCUAUCUGCUAUUUUCAGCAGUCACUAUCUGCUGAAAAUUCAAACCUGUUUUCUAUCUAUCUGCUAUUUUCAGCAGUCACUAUCUGCUGAAAAGCUUAUUUUUAAUAGUGCUGACACUGUGCUGGCACGCUAUGGCCUUGCAGCACAUUGAGUGUAUACAUCUGAAUUCACCAGCAUUUUUGUGUGGUGCAGCAAACAACGUGAAGCAUUGCUUUUGUGAAUUACUGUUUUCAGCUUCUCCUCUGAGUACCAGGGAUUUUUAACCAGUUUUUAUCAGUGGUUCUAAUGGUCUAAUGGUAAUGAAAGUGGAGCCUCUGAAACUCCUGUGGAUGGGGACUUUACUUCUCUGGUGUUUG